rnacentral:lncRNA from 1 species
AGACAUCUGAAGAUGUGGCACCGUUUGACGAGAAACCCAAACCUCUCGCAACAGUGGGAUUCCUCCCCCAUCCCUACGUCUCACGCUGCCGUCCUCACAUGUUCUGUGACUCAGACCCCACGAAGCUCAUGAUGCUGGACACGCACGCGUGCAGAUUUGCCGUUUAAAAGAGAUGACGAGGAGAGGACAGGCUCCUUGCUUACCUGCACGGCCACACGUGGGCUGUUGCCACCCUACCCUUUGGCGAGUUCCUUACCUUGUGCAGAUCACGCAGCUGUAGCACGUUUUGUCAUGCGGCUCCUAGGACUGCAAAUUUUCUCAGUUUCAUUUACUUCAAAGCACUUUUAUUUCACCUUCACCUUCACUCUGAGGAUUUCUUGCUGGAUUUGGAGCGGUGGGGCGGCUCCUCGCUUUCAUUCCUCUGCCCCCCGCCCUCCGCCCUCCGCCCCCCGCCCUCCGCCCUCCGCCCUCCGCCCUCCGCCCUCUGCCCUCUGGUUUUUGAUGAGGAGGCACCGGCAUUCGGCACCUCUGGCCGCCCUUUUCUCCGGCUUCUCCCAAAUUUUCUUCGGUUUUCAGCAGUUUGACUGUGCUGUGCCUACAUGCUCAGUAAAUACUCCCACCUUCACCUUGGCCUCCCAAGCAGCUGGGACCAUAGGCACAUGCACCACCAUCGCCACCAUCGCCAACAUCACCACCAUCACCAACAUUGUCACCAUCACCACCACCGCCACCACCACCACCACCACCACCAUCGCCACCACCGCCACUAUCGCCAACAUCAUCACCACUGCCACCACCAUCACCACCACUGCCACCACCAUCACCACCACCGCCACCAUCGCCACCACCGCCACCACCGCCACCACCGCCACCAUGUCACCAUCACCACCAUCGCCACCACCGCCACCACCGCCACCAUCGCCAACAUCGUCACCAUCACCACCACCACCACCAUCGCCACCACCGCCACCACCAUCGCCACCAUCGCCACCACUGCCACCA